rnacentral:rRNA from 1 species
UACAUGGGGUGCAAACGUUGCUCGGAAUCACUGGGCGUAAAGGGCGCGUAGGCGGGAUGGCAAGUCGGUCGUGAAAUCCUUCGGCUCAACCGAAGAACGUCGGCCGAUACUGCCGUUCUUGAGGGAUGCAGAGGAGAUUGGAAUUCCCGGUGUAGCGGUGAAAUGUGUAGAGAUCGGGAGGAACACCGGUGGCGAAGGCGGGUCUCUGGCUCGGUACUGACGCUGAGGUGCGAAAGCGUGGGGAGCAAACAGG